ACGGGUGAGUAAUGUAUCGGAACGUGCCUAGUAGCGGGGGAUAACUACGCGAAAGCGUAGCUAAUACCGCAUACGCCCUACGGGGGAAAGCAGGGGAUCGCAAGACCUUGCACUAUUAGAGCGGCCGAUAUCGGAUUAGCUAGUUGGUGGGGUAACGGCUCACCAAGGCGACGAUCCGUAGCUGGUUUGAGAGGACGACCAGCCACACUGGGACUGAGACACGGCCCAGACUCCUACGGGAGGCAGCAGUGGGGAAUUUUGGACAAUGGGGGAAACCCUGAUCCAGCCAUCCCGCGUGUGCGAUGAAGGCCUUCGGGUUGUAAAGCACUUUUGGCAGGAAAGAAACGUCAUGGGUUAAUACCCCGUGAAACUGACGGUACCUGCAGAAUAAGCACCGGCUAACUACGUGCCAGCAGCCGCGGUAAUACGUAGGGUGCAAGCGUUAAUCGGAAUUACUGGGCGUAAAGCGUGCGCAGGCGGUUCGGAAAGAAAGAUGUGAAAUCCCAGAGCUUAACUUUGGAACUGCAUUUUUAACUACCGAGCUAGAGUGUGUCAGAGGGAGGUGGAAUUCCGCGUGUAGCA
rnacentral:rRNA from 2 species